GUGCAAUGGCUAGUACUAUGUGUCAACUUGUCUAGGCUAUACUGCUCAGCUGUGUGGUCAAACAGUAGUCUAGAUGUUGCUGUGAAGGUAUUUUGUAGAUGUGAUCAACAUUUACAAUCAGUUGAUUUUAAGUAAAGCAGUUUAACUUCCAUAAUGUGGAUGGGCCUCAUCCAAUUAGUUGAAGGUGUUAAGAGAAAAGACCAAGGUUUCCUGGAAAAGGAAUUCUACCACAAGACUAACAUAAAAAUGCGCUGUGAGUUUCUAGCCUGCUGGCCUGCCUUCACUGUCCUGGGGGAGGCUUGGAGAGACCAGGUGGACUGGAGUAGACUGUUGAGAGACGCUGGUCUGGUGAAGAUGUCCAGGAAACCACGAGCCUCCAGCCCAUUGUCCAACAACCACCCACCAACACCAAAGAGGCGAGGAAGUGGAAGGCAUCCUCUCAACCCUGGCCCAGAAGCCCUAUCAAAGUUCCCAAGACAACCCGGAAGGGAAAAGGGACCCAUCAAGGAAGUUCCAGGAACAAAAGGCUCUCCCUAAAAGACCGCCGCUUCAAAAAAACCUGAGGAAUGGAGUGGGCCAACACUAUCCAGCCACUCUGACCAGCCGAACGAGGAACUCAAUCAAAAUGAGCCAUAGCGGGACCACAAGGGCAAGGAGACCACCACCUUCUCCAGUCUCUCUUCGGACAGCCAGUAAUUCCCGGGCAAGGCCAGAGACUUCAAGUCUAUCUGAAAAGUCUCCAGAGGUCUAACCCCAGAUAAAUAGCCAACAGGGUGUAGAGUACAUUUUACACCCCAAAGAGUGUGCCCCAUGGUGAUGAAAAUAAAGUGAACAUGUUGCAAAAUGA
rnacentral:lncRNA from 10 species